AGGGAAUAUAACUUAACGGUAGAGUGUCUGUUUUGCACGCAGAAAGUCGCGGUUCGAUUCCGCGUAUUUCCA
rnacentral:tRNA from 1 species